rnacentral:rRNA from 1 species
AUGUGGAACGGCGUCCCGCCGCCGCCGCGACGCCGAUGUGGAACGGCGUCCCGCCGCCGCUCCCCCCGCCCGGCCGCCGCGACGCCGCAGGCCGGCCAGCCGCUCACCCCGGCGGAGCUCGAGGCGCAGGUGGUCGAGAAAGCCCGCAAGUGGCACCAGCUCAACUCGAAGUGCUACGGCGACAAGCGCACGUUCGGCUUCGUCCGCAAAAUCAUCAGAGGGCGAGCCAACCUUGCCUUGACAUUCCACCGCCCAUGGGGUCCUGGCCUGUGCCGUCGUCGCCGGAGUCGGGAAGAUGCGCCGCCACUCUUCAACGUCGAACUCCUCUUCCUUGCCGCCGUCACCGCCGCCGUGCUCCUCGUCGUCGGAGAGUACGAUGACCUCCCCGUCGACCACGCGCUCCGAGAAGAUCGCCCGCUCCACAAGCUCAGGCUGCCAGCAUUUCAUUGCCUUUUGCUCCAAUGCCUUAACAUGAGAUGUGGUAGAACACGCCGCGCUGAGUACAUUCCUCUUGUAUCUGAGUGGUUCAAAGAGAACCGUCCACCAGCGUAUCCAGUUAAGCAUCUUGGUGAUGCAUGGCGCUGCUGGAAGGCAAAUAUCCCCUGGAAGGUCCCUGGCCUGCCAGUUCCUACCGAGUACAUGAUACUCGGUUAUGUGAAGUCCAAGGCUGAUUGGUGGACAAAUGUCGCUCACUACAACCAGGCAAGGGAUUUAAUUCAAUGUUACUUGACAGAGCAUCCUGGUCCUAAUAAUGAGAACAUGGUCGGUUACAACAACAAGAAAUGUUGGCCUAGAGAUGCAAGAAUGAGGCUCAUGAAGGAUUAUGUAGAUCUGGGAAGAAGUGUAUUUUGGGAUAUGAAGAGCCGCCUACAAAGGAGAAUUACUACAUUAGAAUGGGAGAAUGGCUUUGUCCCUGUAUACAGCAAGGAUAACCCAAACUGGCUGUUUAGCAUGUCUGGGCUUGAGGUCCAUAUACUACCGAAGAUACGUAUGACUCAGGAGGCAUUCAGCAACGCAAAAGACGGAGUAAGCAUUCUGCAGAUUGAGCAGACAAAAGAAAUAACAGCUGUUGCAUUUUUGGGAGUUGAUGAACACAAGAAUGUGUUUGAGAACCUUGUCAAGCAAAUCCUUAUCUCAUCAGGGUUAACGACAUCUACCAAGAUUGUCAACAAGUGCCACAUCCAACCAUGGGGGAGCAAGUUCAUCGAUUCUCAGCGUGUUUGGGCUGAGUAUGCUUUGAAGAGGCAGGAAGCACAAUCGCAGAAUAGGUGCUUAACACUUGAGUAUCUGGAAGAUUCAUGGGUUGGCCUACGACAAAGGAUGGAAGGACUGACGUCACCCAAGCAUUUGGUGGUGUGGAAGAAGGUCCAUGAAAGUGUCUUUAUGGAUCUUUGCCAAGUUCUGGAUCAGGAGUUGGACGCAUUCGAGAUUGAAGCAGUACAGGAGAAAAUAUAUCCAAGGAAGAGUUGCAAGAUGAACAGUUCAUGUGCAGAUGUCCUCCUUUUUGCUGCACAUAGGUGGAAGAUGUCCAAACCAAGCUUCGUUUGUGAGUCGAAGGAUGUCUUCAGAAAGCGAGUCUGGAUUGAUGUGCAACUACGAUGGGGAGACUACGAUUCACAUGACAUGGAACGUUACAGAAGAGCAGAAAAUAUGGACUUCAUGACAGAUAAUAUGCCCAUCUACCCUUCUCUGACUGGGGUGAUGAGUGGACUUGAACUAGCUUAUAAUUUGCACUCUGCUUUUGGUAACUGGUUCCCUGCGUCAAAGCCCCUCCUCCAGCAAGCUAUGAACAAGAUCAUGAAUUCGAAUGAAGUUCCUCAGCUAUCAACUCAGGAUUUGCCAUCGCAUGCUAAAAUUUUGGACAAGAACAAGCAGUAG